GACGUAGGGCGCGAGCGUUGUCCGGAUUUAUUGGGCGUAAAGAGCUCGUAGGCGGCUUGUUGCGUCGACCGUGAAAACCCGGGGCUCAACUUCGGGCUUGCGGUCGAUACGGGCGGGCUAGAGUUCGGUAGGGGAGACUGGAAUUCCUGGUGUAGCGGUGAAAUGCGCAGAUAUCAGGAGGAACACCGGUGGCGAAGGCGGGUCUCUGGACCGGUACUGACGCUGAUGCGCGAAAGCGUGGGGAGCAAACGGG
rnacentral:rRNA from 1 species